CCAUUCCCUAUUAUACAUGUGGUGGUACACUUUAAGAAGAGAGGAGCAGAAUCACGUGAAGGACAUGUGACAGCUUGGGUUCUUAGAUGAAUGGCAUGAUCAUCGUGCCUGCUCUUGCAUCUGACAUGACAGGUAUGAAUCACAUAUUCCCAUGUUGGUAUGUUUCUUGUGGCCUUUGACAAGUUAUACACCAAUCAGUUUGGAAAGCUA
rnacentral:lncRNA from 1 species